rnacentral:tRNA from 1 species
GCCCCUUUAGCUCAGUUGGUAGAGCUGCGGACUUUUAAUCCGUAGGUCGUCGGUUCGAGCCCGACAGGGGGCACCA